GGGGAACUAGCUCAAAUGGUAGAGCGCUCGCUUUGCAUGUGAGAAGUACCGGGAUCAAUACCCGGGUUCUCCA
rnacentral:tRNA from 1 species